rnacentral:rRNA from 1 species
UUAAAUGGCCGCGGUAUUUUGACCGUGCAAAGGUAGCAUAAUCAUUUGUCUUUUAAUUAAAGGCUUGUAUGAAUGGUUGGAUGAGGAAUUAACUUUUUUAUUUUAAUAAAUUGAAAUUUAAUUUUUAGUAAAAAUGCUAAAAUAUCUAUAUAAGACGAGAAGACCCUUUAAAUCUUUAUUAUUUUAAUUAUAAUUUAGUAUUUAAUAUAAUUUAUUUAUAUAAUUAAAAUAAUUUUAUUGGGGUGAUAUUGAAAUUUUUAAAACUUUCAAAUUAUUUUCCAUUAAUAAAUGAAUUUUUGAUCCAUUAUUAAUGAUUAAUAAAUUAAGUUACUUAAGGGAUAACAGCGUAAUUAUUUUGGAGAGUUCAAAUCGAUAAAAUAGAUUGCGACCUCGAUGUUGAAUUAANAGUAAUUCUAGGUGUAGAAGUUUANAUUUUAAGUCUGUUCGACUUUUAAAUUCUUACAUGAUUUGAGUUCAAACCGG